CAGUAGCCACGGGAAUACGAAGGGGGCUAGCGUUGUUCGGAAUUACUGGGCGUAAAGGGCGCGUAGGCGGCCAUUCAAGUUAGAUGUGAAAGCCCUGGGCCCAACCUAGGAAUUGCAUCUUAUACUGCGUAGCUGGAGUGCAGUAGAGGGUAGUGGAAUUUCCGGUGUAGCGGUGAAAUGCGUAGAUACCGGAAGGAACACCAGUGGCGAAGGCGGCUACCUGGACUGACACUGACACUGAGGCGCGAAAGCGUGGGGAGCAAACAGGAUUAGAUACCCCCGUAGUCCCUGUCUCUUAUAC
rnacentral:rRNA from 1 species